ensembl:lncRNA
GUCAGCUGGGGGUGCAGGCAUCUGAAGACUUGACUGGGUCUGGAGGAGUCACCUCCCAGGGGCUCCCUCACAGGGCUGUUGGCUGGAGGCCUCAGCUCCUUGCUGUGUGAGCCGCUGCAUAAGGCUCCUAUGUUUCCUCACAAUAGGGCUGCUGACUUCCCCUAGUCUGAGUGAUCCAGGAGAGCCUAUGGGAAGCUGCCUCAGAAGUCACACUUGGUCAUUUCCAUCGUAUCGUAUUUGUUAUCUUCUAGAGACCGCCUGCAUUCCUUGGCUCAUGGUCCCCUCCCGUUCGCAACGCCAGCAAUGUUGGGCGAAGACCUUCUCGUGCUGCCAUCUUUCUGGCUCUUUUCUGCCUCCCUCUGCCACUUAUAAGGACUUAUGGUUACAGUGGGCCCACCCCGAAAAUCUGGGAGAGUCUCCCCUUCUCAAGGUCAGCCGAUUAGAAACCUUCAUUCCGUCUGCAACCUUAAUUCCUUUUUGCCAUGGAAGGUGACAUAUUAGCUAGUUCUGGGCAUUAGGACGUGGACAUCUUUGGGGGCCAUUAGCCUGCCUACCACAAUCCCCAAGUGUCAAGUUUGUGUAGUGGGAGAAUAAUGGUGCCAUGAGUCAAAACAGAGAUGUCAGAAGAGGGAAUUAUGAGAUAAAAGCUAACAUUGCGUGAAUGCUUGCCGUGGGUCAAACCCUUUACGCAGAGUUCAUUUAACCCACAACAACUUCUUCUGUCCUCAUCCGCUGGGAAUGGACACGCCGGCGUACCUCUGUCUGUUGUUUCUCUUUCCCCAUCCUGUGGUGGUGGCUCCUGUCGGCAGGGAGUCUGUUUUGUUCCAGCUCUCUCCCGAGCACCAGAAGAGCACCUGAUGCCCAGUACUUGCUCAGUCAGUAUUUGAGGAAGAAAUGAGCCCGGAAAGAUUUUGGAUUAGCCCGAAAGCCACAUAGCUACAUGGCAACAGAACUGACCCUGGAACUCAGGUCUCUUGACAACAUAUCCUUUUUUCCUGCUAAACGGAAUUAGUGAAACCAGAGUUUGAACACCGGCUCAUUCCUGAACCAGUAGUAUGACUUUGAGCAACUUGCUCUCCUUCUCUGAGUGUGUUUGCACAUACGGAAGGUGAGAAUAACAAUACUGGAGACCUCACAAGGCUGCCGUGAGGAGGAAUUAAUCUAUGGUGAACAGAGAGCUCCAUGCCUGGCACAGAAGAGGGGUGGGCUUAUGGAAUUCGAAACGAAGCAGCUGUUGUAAUAUCUUGAAUGACUAAACUGGAUCCAUUGUACUGAUGUGGCACCAUUAUUCAUAUUGUGGGGCACCCCUUUCUGUGUAGGCUCCAUCACAGAAGGUCUAGGCUCAGCUCAUGGCUGUAUCCCCAGAGCUUAGCAUAAUGCCUGGCAGGUCAUGGGCGCUUGGUAAAAGUUGGUUGAAUGAGUGAGUAAAUGAGGUACCAAGAGACACAAAGGAUGGUUGGAUAUCAGUGGCCAGUCCAAUGGCCCUUGGUUCAGGACUUCUUUUUCGCUUUAGAGCCUGGCUAGUCUGUGUCCCAAAAAAGCCUUCCCUCAUCCCAAACCAGAGGACCCCAAAUAUUUUCACCAAGCAUCCUUUCUUUGUCAUACAUUUGAGGAAAAAGUUAUUUCUCUAGAAGAGAAAUCAAGAAGGGAGAGAACGCCUUGUCUUAACUUCCAGGGACAAAUGGAAACUGAAACACUCACGCCUACGUGGCUCACGUUCCAGGGAGAGACACAGUAACGUGGCAUCUGGAAAAUACCCAGCUCAAGCCAGAUUUCUGUCAGUUCCUUCUCUGUCGGUCUGUGCUUCCCGGCUAGUGAAGUAUACGGUUUCUGCCUUUCCUUCUUCCCAAAGAAAACUUUGAUGAAAAAAAAGGGGUUCUGCCUCCUGGGGAAUCUGAUGGACUCCUUGGGGGCUGUCUUCGUCCAAGGUCAGUGGUCAUUACUGUCACCUCCAAGAGAGAACCAAGAAUCCUGGCUCUUUGGCUGCUGCCACUGUCUUGGCCACUAGGUGUCACCAGUGGUCCUGCAGCCCACCUCCAGACGGGAGGCAGGCAGAUGUCACAGGGAAUACUUCCUGUCUACAUCCUGCUCAAAGAAGAGGCUUUUGGAAUACCUACUCUCUUGCCACAGUGGACCUCAGCAGGCAAUCCCGCUCAGAAAAGAAAAUUGUUGGACGUAAGUGCUAGUCCUACCGUCUGAGUGCUGAAUCUUCUCCGUGGUCAUCUGAGAAAGGAGAGGUUCUCGCAGCAGGAGAGGUGGACAGACCUGGGUCCUGGUUCUGGCACUGCCACCCACUUCUGGUGUGACUCAGGGGAGCCACUCAGCCGUCUGAGCACCCCUACCUGAGAGAAAUUAAGACCUGACACAUGUUUGCAGCUUUUUCAUUUUGUCGCCGAGGUGAAUUUUAGUUUCCUGAGUGCUUACUGCACGGCUUACUUCAGGGGCUCAAAUGGUGCUAGGUGGGUGGGUACUAGUUUGAGGAUUAUGAAGAUAGGUGGGGGAGGACUGGGCUGUCUCUCCAGGCGAGGUUCAACAUACUCACCCCACCCCCAACUUUCUGGAGUCAGACAGACUAGGGUUUAUUGCAGCCUGACUCCAACCAGCUACUUCACUGGGUAUGUCACUUAACUCAUCUGAGCCUCAGUUUCCUCAUAUGCAGAAUGAGGGCAAUAUCUACCUUUCAGAGGGUGUGAUGGUUAAUUUUAUGUGUCAACUUGGCUGGGCCAGGGAGUACCCAGAUAUUUGGUGGAGCAUUAUUCUGGCUGUUUCUGUAAGGGGGUUUUGGAUGAGAUUAACAUUUAAAUCGGUAAGCUUUGAGUGAAGCAGAUUCCCCUCCAAAAUGUGGGUGUGCCUCAUCCAAUCAGUUGAAGGCCUGAGGAGAACAAAAACGCCAGCCUCCUGUGAGCAGGAAAGAAUUCUCCAGCAGACCGCCUUUGGACUUUCACCUGCUACACUGGCUCUUCCUGGUUCUAGAGCAGUUGGCCUUUGGAGCUGAACUGGAACAUCAGCUUUCUUGGGCCUCCAGGCACCACUCUACCCCGGAGAUUUUGGACUUGCCAGCUUCCAUAAUUGUGUGAACCAAUUCCUUAUAAUAAAUCAUAUAUACG